AUUGAACGCUGGCGGCAGGCCUAACACAUGCAAGUCGAAUGGUAACAGGAAACAGCUUGCUGUUUCGCUGACGAGUGGCGGACGGGUGAGUAAUGUCUGGGAAACUGCCUGAUGGAGGGGGAUAACUACUGGAAACGGUAGCUAAUACCGCAUAACGUCGCAAGACCAAAGAGGGGGACCUUCGGGCCUCUUGCCAUCAGAUGUGCCCAGAUGGGAUUAGCUAGUAGGUGGGGUAACGGCUCACCUAGGCGACGAUCCCUAGCUGGUCUGAGAGGAUGACCAGCCACACUGGAACUGAGACACGGUCCAGACUCCUACGGGAGGCAGCAGUGGGGAAUAUUGCACAAUGGGCGCAAGCCUGAUGCAGCCAUGCCGCAUGUAUGAAGAAGGCCUUCGGGUUGUAAAGUACUUUCAGCGGGGAGGAAGGGAGUAAAGUUAAUACCUUUGCUCAUUGACGUUACCCGCAGAAGAAGCACCGGCUAACUCCGUG
rnacentral:rRNA from 1 species